UGAGGAAUAUUGGACAAUGGGCGCAAGCCUGAUCCAGCCAUGCCGCGUGAGUGAUGAAGGCCUUAGGGUUGUAAAGCUCUUUUACCAGGGAAGAUAAUGACGGUACCUGGAGAAUAAGCCCCGGCUAACUUCGUGCCAGCAGCCGCGGUAAUACGAAGGGGGCUAGCGUUGCUCGGAAUCACUGGGCGUAAAGCGCACGUAGGUGGGUCGUUAAGUCAGGGGUGAAAUCCCGGAGCUCAACUCCGGAACUGCCUUUGAUACUGGCGAUCUUGGAGUCCGGGAGAGGUGAGUGGAACUGCGAGUGUAGAGGUGAAAUUCGUAGAUAUUCGCAAGAACACCAGUGGCGAAGGCGGCUCACUGGCCCGGUACUGACACUGAGGUGCGAAAGCGUGGGGAGCAAACA
rnacentral:rRNA from 1 species